rnacentral:rRNA from 1 species
UACAGAGGGGGCGAGCGUUGUUCGGAAUUACUGGGCGUAAAGGGCGCGUAGGCGGCCUGCUAAGUCAUACGUGAAAUCCCCUCGGCUCAACCGAGGAACUGCGUCUGAUACUGGUUGGCUUGAAUUCGGGAGAGGGAUGCGGAAUUCCAGGUGUAGCGGUGAAAUGCGUAGAUAUCUGGAGGAACACCGGUGGCGAAGGCGGCAUCCUGGUCCAGUACCGGACGUUCAGGCACGAAAGCGUGGGGAGCAAACAGG